AUGAAUUAAAUACGAAAUCACACACGUGUCGACACAUGUUCCGGGGUGCCUUUUUAGGUCGGAUUCAUGGGAUACGUGGAGGUAUAAC
rnacentral:sRNA from 1 species